UCCUACGGGAGGCAGCAGUAGGGAAUAUUGGACAAUGGGUGCGAGCCUGAUCCAGCCAUGCCGCGUGCAGGAAGAAGGCCUUCUGGGUUGUAAACUGCUUUUAUCUGGGGAUAAAAAGAGCGUGCGCGCUCAAUUGAAGGUACCAGAGGAAUAAGCCACGGCUAACUACGUGCCAGCAGCCGCGGUAAU
rnacentral:rRNA from 1 species